rnacentral:rRNA from 1 species
GUGGGGGAUAUUGCGCAAUGGGCGAAAGCCUGACGCAGCGACGCCGCGUGGGUGAUGAAGGCCUUCGGGUCGUAAAGCCCUGUCGAGAGGGACGAAACGAUCGCGGUCGAAUAGGCCGCGUUCCUGACGGUACCUCUAAAGGAAGCACCGGCUAACUCCGUGCCAGCAGCCGCGGUAAUACGGAGGGUGCGAGCGUUGUUCGGAAUCACUGGGCGUAAAGCGCGUGUAGGCGGCUCGGCAAGUCUGGUGUGAAAGCCCGGGGCUCACCCCCGGAAGGGCACUGGAAACUGCCGAACUCGAGUCCCGGAGAGGAGGGUGGAAUUCCUGGUGUAGCGGUGAAAUGCGUAGAUAUCAGGAGGAACACCGGAGGCGAAGGCGGCCCUCUGGACGGUGACUGACGCUGAGACGCGAAAGCGUGGGGAGCAAACAGGAUUAGAAACCCCAGUAGUCC